GCUAUACACUAUAAGGAGAUAUUACUCCUCUUCCAAUGUGGGACAAGACUACACUAUACAUAUCUAUAAACUAACAAAGACUACUGAUUGCCAAGGCAGGUUACAAGAUUAUUAAUGACAACCUAUCUUUACUAAUUUCAAAUAUUCAAUUGUUUUGGGUUUUUGUAACACAUUUGUUGGCCAACUAGCUUUCAGUUUCACAUUACUCCAAAUUUAGGUGCAUCAAUUGUAAAACUAGAAAAAAAGAGGAUCACAAAAUAGCAACAUAUGAUUUAAAAUAUUUUCCAUAGAUUAAAGUACAAGUGUUCUUAUAAUAGCAUGCAUGAUGCAUAUGUUCCAAACAAAUUUUCUAAUUUCAGAUAUAUGUUAGGAAAAUUAUGCGACCAUUAGCCAAACAAAAUGCUUGAAGUAGUAUUAUAGUAUUGUGUCUAUUUUCGAAGUUAUGAUGGUGUAACUAGAAAAUAUCUGUUACAUUUGGUUUAACAGAAUUUGGUUAGCAGUUGCAAUCUUGAAUCUUGACAGAAGGCUUUCUGCUAAAUUAAAAGAUUACCAUGUUCUUUCUAAUGUUAGAUGAAUUAUUAAACUUUAAUCUUUGUAGCAUUUGGUGGGUUGACUUGAUCAUCUUAUUGGUGGUUGUUACUAGGAUUUGUCUAUUUUCCCAUUCAGCAAAAGGAACACCAGCUGAAGUUUGCAAACUCCAAUAUGUUAUCUCUUAAAUCAUUUUUUUUUUUGUCUUUAAUGUUUAGCAAAUUUUCUCGCUUUGCAGGUCAGACAGAGAACUUUUGGGUCCCAAAUAUGAGCACUUUCCAAAAAUUUUGUCAGUUUUUGCAGAGGUUCUAUGUGCUGGAAAUGAUCUUGCUACUGAAGAAAUGAAAAACCGAAUGAUUAAUCCGUUGAGGAAUCUUCAGAAAACAGUACCAGCAGCCACCUGGGCAUCGGCGUGGUCAUUGCUAUUGCCUCAGCAGGAGAUGGAACUGGAAUCCAUUCUAUCACAUAAGGAAGAUGCUAACUUGUCAUCAGUGCAAUCAGGGGUAAAGUUAGGUGGACGCAAGGGGGUUAUAUUGAAUCGCCGUCAUCGAAAACUUAUAUUGCACAAAUAUGGUAAAAUAAUUCUCUUGACAAAAGGGAAGAUGCUUGUGAAGUGUCAAAGGUGGCUUAAAAAUUGCUUCAGGUUAUAGGUUCAAAUCCAACCAUGGCAUUCUCGAAAUUCUCUGAUAUUCUAACUCCGCCGCUGAGUGCAGUGAAGCUAUGAUUUCUGCAACUUUUGUGUCCAAAUAUUUGACCAGGAAGAUGAAGGUAUGAUGCAAUUUGCUAGCCAUUCGCUGUUUCCUUGAAUCUCAUUCAGUCAACCGGUGAAUAGAUGGUUCCUCUACAUCUGCUCUGAACUGAGUAUUUAUCCAAAUUCUGAAGCGGCUAUGUUAUGUGAAAGCUCUACCCCUUCCUCCAUUUUCAUCAAAGUUUCUAUAAGAUAGUUGAGCAAGAAAAUCAGUAAACAUGGUCAAGAACUAGACUUGUAUAGUUGUGAUCCCCUUUUAAGUUUUAAAAUCUUGUCAUUGUUUUCCUCAGAGAGAAUGAUCAAUUCACUUUUUACGUUCCAGUAUGUAUGAUUUAUUAGAAUCUUGUGCUUAAA